rnacentral:rRNA from 4 species
ACUUAAAUUGAAGAGUUUGAUCAUGGCUCAGAUUGAACGCUGGCGGCAGGCCUAACACAUGCAAGUCGAGCGGUAGCACAGAGAGCUUGCUCUCGGGUGACGAGCGGCGGACGGGUGAGUAAUGUCUGGGAAACUGCCUGAUGGAGGGGGAUAACUACUGGAAACGGUAGCUAAUACCGCAUAAUGUCGCAAGACCAAAGUGGGGGACCUUCGGGCCUCAUGCCAUCAGAUGUGCCCAGAUGGGAUUAGCUAGUAGGUGGGGUAACGGCUCACCUAGGCGACGAUCCCUAGCUGGUCUGAGAGGAUGACCAGCCACACUGGAACUGAGACACGGUCCAGACUCCUACGGGAGGCAGCAGUGGGGAAUAUUGCACAAUGGGCGCAAGCCUGAUGCAGCCAUGCCGCGUGUGUGAAGAAGGCCUUCGGGUUGUAAAGCACUUUCAGCGGGGAGGAAGGCGAUAAGGUUAAUAACCUUGUCGAUUGACGUUACCCGCAGAAGAAGCACCGGCUAACUCCGUGCCAGCAGCCGCGGUAAUACGGAGGGUGCAAGCGUUAAUCGGAAUUACUGGGCGUAAAGCGCACGCAGGCGGUCUGUCAAGUCGGAUGUGAAAUCCCCGGGCUCAACCUGGGAACUGCAUUCGAAACUGGCAGGCUAGAGUCUUGUAGAGGGGGGUAGAAUUCCAGGUGUAGCGGUGAAAUGCGUAGAGAUCUGGAGGAAUACCGGUGGCGAAGGCGGCCCCCUGGACAAAGACUGACGCUCAGGUGCGAAAGCGUGGGGAGCAAACAGGAUUAGAUACCCUGGUAGUCCACGCCGUAAACGAUGUCGAUUUGGAGGUUGUGCCCUUGAGGCGUGGCUUCCGGAGCUAACGCGUUAAAUCGACCGCCUGGGGAGUACGGCCGCAAGGUUAAAACUCAAAUGAAUUGACGGGGGCCCGCACAAGCGGUGGAGCAUGUGGUUUAAUUCGAUGCAACGCGAAGAACCUUACCUGGUCUUGACAUCCACAGAACUUUCCAGAGAUGGAUUGGUGCCUUCGGGAACUGUGAGACAGGUGCUGCAUGGCUGUCGUCAGCUCGUGUUGUGAAAUGUUGGGUUAAGUCCCGCAACGAGCGCAACCCUUAUCCUUUGUUGCCAGCGGUUAGGCCGGGAACUCAAAGGAGACUGCCAGUGAUAAACUGGAGGAAGGUGGGGAUGACGUCAAGUCAUCAUGGCCCUUACGACCAGGGCUACACACGUGCUACAAUGGCAUAUACAAAGAGAAGCGACCUCGCGAGAGCAAGCGGACCUCAUAAAGUAUGUCGUAGUCCGGAUUGGAGUCUGCAACUCGACUCCAUGAAGUCGGAAUCGCUAGUAAUCGUAGAUCAGAAUGCUACGGUGAAUACGUUCCCGGGCCUUGUACACACCGCCCGUCACACCAUGGGAGUGGGUUGCAAAAGAAGUAGGUAGCUUAACCUUCGGGAGGGCGCUUACCACUUUGUGAUUCAUGACUGGGGUGAAGUCGUAACAAGGUAACCGUAGGGGAACCUGCGGUUGGAUCACCUCCUUACCUUAAAGAA